rnacentral:rRNA from 1 species
ACGGGUGAGUAACGCGUAGAUAAUGUGCCCUCCUGCGGGGAUACCGUUUCGAAAGGAACGUUAAUACCGCAUAACACGAAUUUAAGGCAUCUUAAGUUCGUCAAACUUCUGGGGUGGGAGGAGCAGUCUGCGUUCUAUCAGCUAGUUGGUGGGGUAAUGGCCUACCAAGGCGACGACGGAUAACUGGUCUGAGAGGAUGAUCAGUCACACUGGAACUGAGACACGGUCCAG